ACUCAAAUGAAUUGACGGGGACUUGCACAAGCGGUGGAUUAUGCGGCUUAAUUCGUCGACAAACGAAGAACCUUACCAAGAUUAGAAAUCCAGCUGCAUCCGACCUGAAAGGGACGGAGCCUUCGAGGGUGCUGGACAGGUGAUGCAUGGUCGUCGUCAGUUCGUGGUUUGAACUGUUCCCUUCAGUGGGGUAACGAACGCAACCCCCGUUGUCUGUUGCCUAUAUGGCCAGGCGAGACUGCUCCCUCACGGGAGAGGAAGGUGGGGAUGACGCCAGAUCAGCAUGUCCCUCUGAUAUCUUGGGCUGCACGCAUAAUACAAUGGUCGGUACAACGGGUAGCAAUGCCGCAAGGCGGAGCCAAUCCUUAUAAAACCGACCCCAGUACGGAUUGAGGUCUGCAACCGACCUCAUGAAGCCGGAAUCGCUAGUAAUCCCGGGUCAGCCAAACCGGGGUGAAUACGUUCUCAAGUCUUGUACACACCGCCCGU
rnacentral:rRNA from 1 species